rnacentral:lncRNA from 1 species
CAAAUUACCAUGUGUCUUAUAUGACAAAGAGCUACAAUAUCUAACACUUGUGAUUUGUACUCAUAUACUUCAAUUUCUACGUUAUCUAAAGACUAUAAUGUUGGUUUAUUAUUUUUUAGAAUGAUGGAAGAACAUGGUCAUUUCAUAUGUUUAGAACAAGGAGGACUUGGGCUCAGACCAAGGUGUGCAAGGGAUGUUCCGACAUGAUGCACGACCAAUCAACACUAAUCUGAAUUCUCCCACAAUGGUGCUGAUAUGUUAAUAUAUUUUGCCCAACUGCUUAUUAACUUAAUUCAUAACACUAUCAUUUUAAGUUGCGCAAAUCACAAUGAUGCUUGUCAUAUAUUCUAGUAUAUUUGAUAUGUUACUUUAAGUGCAAAUUUCAGGACAUAAUAUAGUAAUACUACACAAUAAGAACAAUGUCAUAUUUGGCACAGAUCACGCAACUAGCCAUCUGAAUCGACAUUUUUGAGGCACGACCAUUUGUUUGUACUGCUGUGCAUAAUGGUGAAUUUAAGUGCAUGACAAGCCAGCAUCUUUGAUGGAAUUGAAAGUGUCGAUCCACUUGUCGUCAAUAUAGUUAAUGACAUUCCACGAGAUAAUAACGAGUCUUUUACUAUUCUUGAACUUGCUAUGUUAAUCAAUCUAAAACACACUAAAAGUGUUAACUGUCUUUCAUUCUAUUACACAAUUAUGUGAUUUAGUUAGUUAUUUAUUUAUUUACUCUGUGUGUGUCAACUAAUAUGUUCAUUGCAACUAAGAUUUACAAAGUAUAAUGAUAUAAUUGCUUUUCUUUUGCAGCCAUGAUGACGAAGGUGUAUUUGUGACAAAGUAUGUGGAGUUCAUUAUCAAUGAAAUGAUACAUGAUAUGUUAGAAAACGUGGUUCCAAAGAUCACAAGGGCAUACCUGGCUUGUCAACUAUAUAAAUAUGAAAUCCAAAAGAGCAACGGAUAUUAUGAAUCAGAUGUUGAUCUCGUCCCAGGAGUAUCGGGAAAGCGAUGAAGGCUAGGAAUGUCGAUAAUAUCUAGAAGUCAAUCAAGGGGAAAAAAUUAGUCUAUUUUGUUGAUACCCAUCAAACAUUUGUUGACGUCUUUUUACUUUUUUAGCCAUGUUAGCAAAUUUGUGCCUGAUUUGAUGGUGUUUACUUGAACAACUUUAGUAAUCAUGCAACGUCUAUUAUAUGGCGG